AUAUAUCUAUCUUCUUACACUCCUAGAAGUUAUCCAUAUACAUGAUGUUGGUAAAAGAAAUCUUAAGAUAAAUAUCUGAAGGAAGCCUUGCAUGAACAUGUGAUUAUUAAUACACAUAUUAUACGGUCAGGGAAGUUUUAUACUGAGAGAUUACAAUGUGGCAAAUUCAACCUAACAAUAACAAAUAGCCCAAAAGAAGGGGCAAACAUUAAGUUGAACACAUACCCCGUGAUGUCUCAUAACACCGGCCUUGAUUGAAGCACUCUCUCUAUGUUUUCUUUCAAAUCCUUUUUGUUUCUUUCCAGCAACUCAUUUUCAUGGUCCAUGACGGCCAUGGAGAAGGCGCAUAGCAGAUCAGAGCUUCCAUGGUCCUCGCCCCAUCCCCAACGCCGCUAUCACCGAUGACCUGUCGCAUCAGCCAUGGAAUUAGAUGAAUUAACACGGAGUUGAAGAUCAAAUUAGAUAAUGGAGAAGGUGUGGGCUGUUGACCACCGCACAUAUCCAUUGGAGAGAAGGAUGGAGGGGAGGGGAUGUGAGGAGAGGGGGCGCCAUGGUGCGGAUGGGCGAGCAGCUGCAGAAUCAAACCGCGACAGGGGAGGUACGUCGAUGACGGCCGUCAGCGGACGGCGGCGAGGGCCGACGGGGACGAACGAUAGGCGCAGGGCGGCGAGGGAUUGGGGGGCUGCAGAUGGUUUUCUCCCCUUUUCAUCUGCUCGUUAUCGCUCUCUCAACUUCUCGAGAACGAC
rnacentral:lncRNA from 1 species